GAUGAACGCUAGCGACAGGCUUAACACAUGCAAGUCGAGGGGCAGCAUAAAAGUAGCAAUACUUUGGUGGCGACCGGCGCACGGGUGAGUAACGCGUAUGCAACCUACCUAUCAGAGGGGAAUAACCCGGCGAAAGUCGGACUAACACCGCAUAAAACAGGGACACCGCAUGGUGAUAUUUGUUAAAGAAAUUCGCUGAUAGAUGGGCAUGCGUUCCAUUAGGUAGUUGGUGAGGUAACGGCUCACCAAGCCGACGAUGGAUAGGGGAACUGAUCGGUUGGUCCCCCACAAUGGUACUGCGACACGUACCAGACUCCUACGGGAGGCAGCAGUGAGGAACAUUGGUCAAUGGGCGAGAGCCUGAACCAGCCAAUGCGCGUGAAGGAAGAAGGAUCUAUGGUUCGUAAACUUCUUUUGCAGGGGAAUAAAGUGCAGGACGUGUCCUGUUUUGUAUGUACGCUGAGAAUAAGGAUCGGCUAACUCCGUGCCAGCCGCCGCCGUAA
rnacentral:rRNA from 1 species